rnacentral:rRNA from 1 species
CCUACGGGUGUCAGCAGUGAGGAAUAUUGGUCAAUGGCCGAGAGGCUGCACCAGCCAAGUCGCGUGAGGGAAGAAUGUCCUAUGGAUUGUAAACCUCUUUUGUCAGGGAGCAAAGUCACCCACGUGUGGGUGUUGGAGAGUACCUGAAGAAAAAGCCUCGGCUAACUCCGUGCCAGCAGCCGCGGUAAUACGGAGGAUGCGAGCGUUAUCCGGCUUUCUUGGGUUUAAAGGGGGCGCAGGCGGGCCUUUAAGCCGGCGGUGAAAUCGCGGGGCUCAACCCCGCCGAGCCGUCGGAACUGGGGGCCGUGAGUGCGGCGGAGGCAUGCGGAAUGCGCGUUGUAGCGGUGAAAUGCAUAGAUAUCGCGCAGAACCCCGAUUGCGAAUGCAGCGGGCCGUGCCGCCACUGACGCGGAGGCACGAAAGCGCGGGGAUCGAACAGGAUUAGAUACCCCGGUAGUC